UGCUUAGUGAUGUCCAAGUCUGAAGAUCC
rnacentral:piRNA from 1 species